GAUUAUGGCUCAGGAUGAACGCUGGCGGCGUGCCUAACACAUUCAAGUCGAACGAACUGUAGAAAUACAGUGAGUGGCGGACGGGUGAGUAACGCGUAAGCAAUCUGCCUUUGCGUGUGGAAUAACAACCGGAAACAGUUGCUAAUACCGCAUAACGCACAGAGAUCGCAUGGUUUUUGUGCCAAAGAUUUAUCGCACGAAGAUGAGCUUGCGUCCGAUUAGAUAGUUGGCGGGGUAACGGCCACCAAGUCGACGAUCGGUAGCCGGACUGAGAGGUUGAACGGCCACAUUGGAACUGAGAUACGGUCCAGACUCCUACGGGAGGCAGCAGUGGGGAAUAUUGGGCAAUGGACGAAAGUCUGAACCCCAGCGACGCCGCGUGAGGGAAGAAGGUCUUCGGAUUGUAAACCUUAGUCAACAGGGACGAAGCAAGUGACGGUACCUGUGGAGGAAGCCACGGCUAACUACGUGCCAGCCGCUGC
rnacentral:rRNA from 1 species